UCGCGCCGGGCGCUCGUCGCUCGCCGGCGGCCAUGGGGGAGGCCGAGGUGGGCGGCACGGGCGCCCCAGGCGACAAGGGCCCAGGCGAGGCAGCCCCGAGCCCUGCUGAGGAGACGGUGGUGUGGAGCCCUGAGGUGGAAGUGUGCCUCUUCCACGCCAUGCUGGGCCACAAGCCUGUCGGGGUGAAUCGGCACUUCCACAUGAUUUGUAUCCGAGACAAGUUCAGCCAGAAUAUUGGGCGCCAGGUUCCAUCCAAGGUGAUCUGGGACCAUCUGAGCACUAUGUACGACAUGCAGGCACUGCACGAGUCUGAGAUUCUUCCAUUCCCAAAUCCAGAGAGGAACUUUGUCCUUCCAGAUGAGAUCAUUCAGGAAGUCCGAGAAGGUGAGACUCGGCCACCACCAGGGCUGGGAAUAAAAAAAGCCUCACCAGGCCAAAGGUGGGGAGGUCUGGGGCCUCCAGGGAGGUGUAAGGAUCCUGCUCAGACCAUGCCUCCAGUGGCACCUGGGAGGUUUUGGGAGCCAAGGGCUGGGGAGAGCGGUGCUCAAAGGCAGUCUCCUGAUGGAUGCCGUCUCGUGAUGGACGCCGAGGCCUGUGUGGGCAGCGAGAAUCGGAAGCAGUCAUGGCCAGACCGUCCCCCAGCGCUGGCCACCACCGUGGGUUUCCAGUGAACGGCAGCUGUCUCCUCCACAGGAAAAGUGGUCAUUGAAGAAGAAAUGAAGGAGGAGAUGAAGGAGGAUGUGGACCCCCACAGUGGGGCUGAUGAUGUUUUUUCAUCUUCAGGGAGCUUGGGGAAAGCAUUAGAAAAAUCCAGCAAAGACAAAGAGAAGAACUCCUCAGACUUGGGGUGCAAAGAAGGGGCAGACAAGCGGAAACGCAGCCGGGUCACUGACAAGGUCCUGACUGCCAACAGCAAUCCCUCCAGCCCCAGUGCUGCCAAGAGGCGCCGCACAUAGACACCUCAGCCUCAGGUUGCCACAGAGAUGCUCCAGCUGCCUAUCUUCAGGUCCCUGGGUGAAUGUGGCCAUCCAGCAGAGAUGCUAGUGGGGCUUCCGCUGUGUCAUCAGACCUCCAGAGCACUUGAUUGGUCCAAAAGGCCAGCAAGACCCUUGUCCACUCUGCGGAUGGCAAAGCCCCUGAGCCAGCCUCUGGCUUUCUCCUGGCUGGUUCCCUUGUGCCCACAGUGUGUGGAGAAGAGCAGGUGUGUGGGGCCAGAGGACCAAGAGUCAGCAAUAAGACGCCAGCCUCACUGUCCUCAGGAGCCACGCAUCCUCCCUGGGUGCCCACUCUUUGCAUCUGCUUUUCCUGUAAGACUCCACUGUGCACAGAGAAGGUGUCUUUGGAGUUCACACAGCACACACUGUGCACAGAAGGCCUCCCCACCUGGGAGAUAGAACUGGAUAUUUUGCCUCAUUCACUUGUACUGUAAUAGUGUAUAUAACUUAGUUGGUAUUUCACUAUUUAAUUUUUAAGAAGCCUAUUUUAUUAGUGUUUUGUAUGAAGAAAAAUACUGCAGAAGUUAAACCUGUGUUGUGUUUUUUUGAGCUGUUUUGUUUUAAGGUAACUACUGAGAUACAUCUGGCUGUUUUUAUAUGCCAGAUACAGAGAAUUUUUAGCGGUUAUUUUUGUAAUUUUAGUAACUUGGAAAAGACCAAAAAAGGAAGUGGAACAAAGGAACUGCCAUCAGGCUGAAAAACCAAUGGCCUGAUGGUUGAAGUACAUUUUCAUUUGCAGAAUAUUAAAGCA